AUUGAACGCUAGCGGGAUGCCUUACACAUGCAAGUCGAACGGAGUGGCGAACGGGUGAGUAAUGUAUCGGAACGUGCCCAGUAGCGGGGGAUAACUACGCGAAAGCGUAGCUAAUUCCGCAUACUUUUGGAGCGGCUGAUAUCGGUUUAGCUAGUUGGCGGGGUAACGGUUCACCAAGGCGACGAUCCGUAGCCGGUUUGGCAGGACGACCAGCCACACUGGGACUGGGACACGGCCCGGAAUCCUGCGGGAGGCAGCAGUGGGGAAUUUUGGACAAUGGAGGAAACCCUGAUCCAGCCAUCCCGCGUGUGCGAUGAAGGCCUUCGGGUUGUAAAGCACUUUUGGCAGGAAAGCGGUACCUGCAGAAUAAGCACCGGCUAACUACGUGCCAGCAGCCGCGGUAAUAC
rnacentral:rRNA from 1 species